UUAAAGAUACUUGCGUCACGUCCUAAAGUCGAGCGUUGAAGCGGCCGAGCAGAGCCGUGAGCCGUCGCAACAAAGGAUGGCGCCUCGGUGAGAACCACGGAGAGGUGAGAUUCCUAUGA
rfam:Clostridiales bacterium 41_12_two_minus Ley3_66761_scaffold_3982, whole genome shotgun sequence.